UGCCUGGGCGUUAACUCAGACACCAGUCCGCCAGAAAAUUACGGGCGAAAGCCUAAAACUCAAAAGACUUGACGGUGUCCUAAUCUACCUAGAGGAGCCUGUUCCAUAAUCGAUAACCCCCGAUAAACCCGACCCCCCUUUGAAAUCUCAGCCUAUAUACCGCCGUCGACAGCCCACCUUUCAAAAGAAUUAAAGUAGGCUAAAUAGAAUAACGCUCUAAAAAGUCAGGUCAAGGUGUAGCUAAUAGGGCGGAGACAAUGGGCUACAUUUUUUAAAAUAACAUACUCACGGACCAGUAUUUUGAAACUAGAACUAUAAAGGUGGAUUUAGCAGUAAGCUAAAAAAGAAUGCUUAGCUUAACAUAGCCCUAGGACACGUACAC
rnacentral:rRNA from 1 species